AUGAAAUCCAGGUGCAGCUGGGCCCGCCGCAGGCCGCCGUACUUGUCGCCCAUGUCCUCCCCCGGGGCCCGCAGCCCUCGGGGCACCCGCGGCCACCCCUUUUGCAGGCACAGCCCACGCGCACGCGCACGGCCACGCCCACAGGCGAGCCACACCCACGGGCUCCGCACGCCCACGUGCACGCGCACGGCCACGCCCACGGGCUGGCCACGCUCAGGGGCUCGGCACAUGCACGCCCACGGGCUCGUCACACCCUGCGCACGGCCACGCCCACGAGCUCGGCACGCCCACGCCCACGGGCUGGUCACGCUCAGGGGCUCGGCACAUUCACGCCCACGGGCUCGUCACAUCCUGCGCACGGCCACGCCCACGAGCUCGGCACGCCCACGCCCACGCCCACGGGCUGGUCACGCUCAGGGGCUCGGCACAUGCACGCCCACGGGCUCGUCACGCCCUGUGCACGGCCACGCCCACGGGCUGGUCACGCUCAGGGGCUCCUCACGCGCACAACCACGGGCUCGUCACGUCCACAGGCUCAUCAUGCCCACGCCCACGGGCUCAUCACGCCCUGCGCACAGCCACGCCCACGAGCUCGGCACGCUCACGUCCACGGGCUCGUCACGUCCACAGGCUCAUCGCGCCCACACCCUCGGGCUGGUCACGCUCAGGGGCUCCUCAUGCACAUGCCCACGGGCUCAUCACAAGCACGCCCACGUCCUGCUGGUCAUGCCCACAGGCAGUCCACACCCACGCUCUGGUCACGCCCCCGGGCAGCCCACGCCCCCGGGCCGGUCACGCGCACGGCCAGGCCCAGGGCUGUGCACAAACGCCCGCGCCCCUGCCGGCGGGGGUGACGCUCACCCGGAGCGGAGCCGAGGGCGUGGGCGUGGGCGGCGGCCGGCAGGCAGGUCCCGGGUCGCGGGCUCGAAUCCUUCCUCCGACGAGGCGGCGUCGCGCCGGCCGCUUCCCGUUGCGGUGGGCGUAGGGGCCCCGCGCAGUGGCGCUGUCCUUCGGCAGGCGGCCCGCGGGCCCGGGGCUGCGAUCAGAAUUGGUGGGAAAGGGGCGCGCGGGCCCCCGCCGAGCCAAGAGGCGGGGCUGGAGGCUGCGGGCGUUGGGGCAGGACGGAAACGGGCAGUUUUCCUUCACUCGCCCAGUUUGUGA
rnacentral:lncRNA from 1 species